rnacentral:rRNA from 1 species
UGGGGAAUUUUGGACAAUGGGCGCAAGCCUGAUCCGGCCAUGCCGCGUGCGGGAAGAAGGCCUUCGGGUUGUAAACCGCUUUUGUCAGGGAAGAAAUCUUCUGAGUUAAUACCUCGGGAGGAUGACGGUACCUGAAGAAUAAGCACCGGCUAACUACGUGCCAGCAGCCGCGGUAAUACGUAGGGUGCAAGCGUUAAUCGGAAUUACUGGGCGUAAAGCGUGCGCAGGCGGUUUUGUAAGACAGAGGUGAAAUCCCCGGGCUCAACCUGGGAACUGCCUUUGUGACUGCAAGGCUUGAGUGCGGCAGAGGGGGGCAUGGAAUUCCGCGUGUAGCAGUGAAAUGCGUAGAUAUGCGGAGGAACACCGAUGGCGAAGGCAAUCCCCCUGGGCCUGCACUGACGCUCAUGCACGAAAGCGUGGGGAGCAAACAGGAUUAGAUA